AUUGAACGCUGGCGGCAUGCUUUACACAUGCAAGUCGAACGAAAACAUGCGUUCGUUUGCUCACUAGUGUCGAACGGGGACGUAAUGCAUCGACACGUACCAAGAAGUUGUGGAUAACGCAUCGAAACCUGUACUAAGACCGCAUGUGGUCUGAGAAUUAAAACGGGGUGCCUAACAACAAUAAUUGGCUUCUCCCCUUUGUAGCGGCCGACGUCGGAUUAGCUAGUUGGUUAGGUAAAGGCUUACCAAGGCAACGAUCCGUAGCUGGCCUGAGAGGACGAUCAGCCACACUGGGACUGAGACACGGUCCAGACUCCUACGGGAGGCAGCAGUGGGGAAUCUUGCACAAUGGGCGAAAGCCUGAUCGAGCAACGCCGCGUGAGUGAUGAAGGUCUUCGGGUCGUAAACCGCUGUUGGUAGGAACGAAAAGGUGUCUGAGAAACUAUGCAGGUCAUGACGGUACCUGAACAAUAAGCCACGGCUAACUACGUG
rnacentral:rRNA from 1 species